rnacentral:misc_RNA from 1 species
AACGCACGAGACCUGCGGACCUGCGGAAGGAUCAUUAGUGAACGCCUCACGGGCUUAUAACUAUUCCAAACCUCUGUGAACCGUGCCCUUCGGGGCUAUUUUACAAACAUGGUGUAAUGAACGUCAUAUAUCAUAACAAAACAAAACUUUCAACAAUGGAUCUCU